UCACAAUUCUGGAGGCUAGAAGUCCCAGGUCAAGGUACAAAGAGAUUCAGGGCCUGAUAAGGGCCCCCUUCCUGGGGUAUAGACAGCCCCUUUCUUACCGUGACUUUGUAUGGCCUUUCCUUGGCGUGUGUGUGCACAUGGAGAGGAAGCUCUGGUGUCUUUCCCUCUUCUUCUCAGGGCACUGAUCCUAUUACGGGGACCCUAGCCUUAUGACCUCCAAAAGGCCCCCACUCCUAAUACUACCACAUAAUAGAUGCUUAGGGCUUCAACAUAGGAAUUUUGCGGAGACACAAAUAUUCAGUCCAUAACAGCUUUGGGUGAGGAUAGUUCAAAGAGGAGCUCAAAAGUGGAUACAAAGAUGUUUGAGGAGGUAGGAGGGUGGACUAAUAAGGGCACUGUCUACUCAAAAUUAAUGUGAGGCUUUACACCCUCACUUCAGGCCAAGGAUCAAGUUAGCUUGCUAGGUCAGAACUCCCUGUUCUCCCACUGGGUACAUUUGGGGAUGUUCUUUUAAAUGUUCAGGAAAACAACUGCUAAUGACUAAUUUGGAAUUAACAUGUGGUCUGUCAGCGGGAAGAGGCAUGGUGUUGUUGGAGUUGGAGUCAGGGCUAUGGCAGAAGAAACAGCAGGUACUGGGACUGGAAGGAACCACAGCAGGCAUCUCCUCCACUGGUUCUCAUCCUGGCCCCUGGAUUCAGUGGACAACCCCUCCCACCCACCAUCAACCAGGGCGGCUCCACUUCUACGUGUUUCCUGUAAUGAGGUCCUGUGCAAGAUUUUGAGAAAAGGACUCCACUGCUGAAAAAUAAGAGACUGCAUCCAGGAAGCCACCACCUGCUGAAAAGGAGCCAGUUGUCCUUCUCUUGCUCUCCUGCUGAAGUUCACCCCUCCAGGCUGAAGGAUUGUAGCUCCUAUUGCUUCUGCUGUCUGCCCCCUUACGGGUGAAGUUGCUCCAGGGGCUUAUGCAGUCUUCCUGGUGAGAGGGACUGGUGCCUGUCUACUGCCAGACUGAAGUCUCUCCAGGAUGACUGAGGGAAGGCUCUUGUACCCUGCAGUGGAUACAUUUCACACAGCACCAACUCAGUCACUUUUUGUGGAAUGACAGAGUCUGCCAUGGAAGCCAACCUGAUCUGAGGCAGGUCUGCCUCCAAAACACUGAUCUACAAACCCAACCUUUUGCCCUGAGAACCUUGAUACUCAAAGCCUCAUGUGACAUCCAUGGGAAGGGAGGGAGUUUUGUGAGAAUUUAUCAGGCACCAUGAACUCAUUUCAAAAAGAAGUAACCAGGAAGUUCCCAUCGUGGGUCAGUGGUUAUGAACCUGGCUACCAUCUAUGAGGAUGCAGAUUCAAUCCUUGGCCUUAUUCAGUGGGUUAAAAGAUCCAGAGUUGCCAUGAGCUGUGGUGCAGGUCACAGAUGAGGCUCAGAUCCCAUGCUGCCGCAGCUUUGUUUAGAUCCCUAGAGUGGGAACUUCCAUAUGCCUCGGGUGCAACCCUAAUAGGCAAAAAAAAAAAAAAGUAAC